CACUCUUUGGUUUGACUGGCCUCAAACUUACUGUGGAACAGAGGCUGUCCUUGAACUUCUGAUCCUCAACUCCCAAGUACUGGGACUGCAAACGCAUCUACCAUGCUUGGCCUAGAGAGAGAGGGGGAGGAGAUGGAUAGGAGAGGAGAAGAGAGGGAGGAGGGGGAGAGGGAAAGGGAAGAAAAAGAAGGGAAGAGGUCGCUUGCCCCUGCCUCCAGAUCAUGGGAUUCAAGGCACGCACCACCAACACCUGACUACAACUCACUUUUUAACCUACAGUAGUAUAUUUCUGAGACUUUUCCAAGGUGAUACACAUGACACAUCAGUGUUGCCUGUGAAGGAUGGAGUCUUCCAUCACAUAGAGGGACUCCAUUUUGACAGCCAAGAACCUUUCUGCCAGAGUCCAGCCUAGUUCUCUCUGACUAUUAGCAGCUUGAAUUAUUUUGGUGUUUGUGGUGCUGGAGAUUAGACCCCAGGGCUUUGUGGAUGCCAGGCAAGGAAUCUACCUCUGAGCUACAUCCUCAGCUGAACUCUGAAUUCUUACUACAUGACCUGGAAGACCUCACUCAUUUGUCAGGAGCCUCCUCAGUGAGAGGUCUGGAUCCUCUCCAGAUGAAACUUCAUUGAAGAAUGGGUCUCUUGCUCAACCUAGAGCUUACCAAUCCAUCUAAGAUGGCUGGCCAGCAAGGCCUAAGAGUCUCCCUGUCCUGUCAGUGCUGGGACUGCAGGUACAUACUGCUGUGCCUGGCUUUCAUGAGGGUGCUACUGAUGCUCUCUUGGUACAGUGGGCUGAGCUGGUAGCGUGAGAAGACAAGCAAAGCAGCCGUGGCAGCAACAGCAAUGGCAAGAGGGCAUCCAGAGUUCCAGAGAGAGAUGCAGAGACAGGCAAGAUGAUACAGGACCCUGGAAAUAGAGGUUAUCCAAGGCCAAAGAUGAGGGAUGCAGGCCCUGACCGCUGGAAGAGUUCCUGGAAGCUGCUAAGCCUUGAGAGUUGAUGGUCCUUACACCCAUAGCAGCAUGCAAGAUGUAAAGGGAUAUGGCUGAGGUUUGAGAGCUCCAACACUAGGUGAUGUUCGCUGCUGCUGCUGCUGCUUCUGUUGUUGUUGUUGCUGCUGCUGCUUCUGAGUCUGAGGUUACACUGGCUGCUACUGAGAGCUGGUCUAUUGACAAAGCCCAGAGACAUUAAAGCCUCUAGGGUGAGUCCCUACAGCCAUAGGUCUGUGGACCCUAAAGCUUGGAGCCAUUAGCUUUUAGUUCUUGGGACAUAAAGCUAUACGGUUCUGAGUCUGUCAGCCAGCCCACAAGCUUUUGACACUCAAGGGACCGGGUCUACCAAUACUAAAAUAGUUACCUCCCUUUAACUAUGAUUUCUAUUUGAGAAGACCAACGGGCCCUCCCGAGUCAGCUGACUAGUAACAGCAAGAUGCCUCUUAGAAAAGAAUUUAUGACUGGUAAGGUGGCCUAGGGUGUAAAAGUGCUUGUCCCUACCCAUAACAACCUGAGUUCAUUCUCUAGGAUACACAUGGUAGUCAGAGACUAGCUACCCUCGCAGGUUAUCUCCUGACCUCUAUACUUCCACAGCAAGUAUGCGUGCUGAUAUGAAAUAAAUAUAAAACAAUUAAAGUAAAGUCAUAUUAACAUGAAGGACCACUACCCAUUUUAUACAGCCAUACAAAAACUCAAAGAUACUGAUAAACACAUGGCAGAGGUGGGUAAAGGGGGAGAUAGGGCUACAAAGAAAUGCAUGAGAUAGCCACAGUGACCCCCAGGUGGUCCCCAGGAUCUGGGAGUCUGAGGCAAGAGGACUGCCACCAAUUUGAGCUGCCUUGGGCUGGCUACAAAGUGACUUUGAGGCCAGAGACAGUGAAUUGUCAACUGACAAAGAAUUCUACCUUCCGUACCAGUCUCAAGAUGGCCACACCCUAGAUAAAUAACAGUGACCAGUCUUAGAAGAGCUGCAGUUUCUGGCCAACGAUUUUUACCGGUGAGUGGAGAUGUGGGGCCCAGCAGAACCAGUCUGGAAAGAAAUUAGUCAGUUAUUAUCAAAAAGUGGCACCGGUUACUGGUUUGCUCAGCCCUCUGCCAGACUGAAGAAGGUGAAGACAAAGGACUGUCAGAACUCAAACUUGUGAAUGCCCCCGGGUCCUGCCGGUCGGUAGGAGAAUCGAAACUCAUUUCUUUAAAAUACCUAUGACUGUAAACCGUGUCAUUAAAAAAAAAAAAAAUCUCCUUUAAUCCUCAUGAGCUCAGGGAAGUGAGUUGAAGAAUGUGUGCCAUUCUUUGACCUCUUUAUGAAGAACACGCACUCCUGUACUAAAUUCUUAUUAAAAACUUCCUGUGUGUGCCCCGGACACAACCGCGAACAAAAACGUGAAGGGCUCCAUCCUCAUGAGGGAUGGGAGUGGUGGGAACAGACAUUAGCAGGUAAUUUGACACACUAAGUCACUGUGUUUGUCAAUGGUGGCCAGGGAAGACCAGCUUGCCUUUGAGGAGGUGAGGACAUGUAUGGUGUGUUUAAAAUUGGGGAGGGAAGCUAGCCCAGCUCUCGUGGGUCUUCACGGACAUUUAAAAAAGGAUUUGGAGGGGGCAUUGAAAUGGCUCAGCAGGUAAAGUGCCUGCCACCAAGCCAGACA